GACGAACGCUGGCGGCGUGCUUAACACAUGCAAGUCGAACGAUGAAGCCAGCUUGCUGGUGGAUUAGUGGCGAACGGGUGAGUAGCACGUGGGUGAUCUGCCCCAAACUUUGGGAUAAGCCUGGGAAACUGGGUCUAAUACCGAAUAUGACCGAUACUCGCAUGGGUGUUGGUGGAAAGCUCCGGCGGUUUGGGAUGGGCCCGCGGCCUAUCAGCUUGUUGGUGGGGUAAUGGCCUACCAAGGCGACGACGGGUAGCCGGCCUGAGAGGGCGACCGGCCACACUGGGACUGAGACACGGCCCAGACUCCUAUGGGAGGCAGCAGUGGGGAAUAUUGCACAAUGGGCGCAAGCCUGAUGCAGCGACGCCGCGUGAGGGAUGACGGCCUUCGGGUUGUAAACCUCUUUCACCAGGGACGAAGCGAAAGUGACGGUACCUGGAGAAGAAGCACCGGCCAACUACGUG
rnacentral:rRNA from 1 species